rnacentral:rRNA from 1 species
AUGGUGAGCGUGUCAAAAGAGCACCUGGAAACAGUGUACAAAGAGGUAGAAACAUACUCCUUCAACCCACUCGAGUUACAGGUGCAGGGCCUCUACACGCAUAAUAUUUUCACCAAAUUCCAGAUGGAGAUGAAGGUGAAAACUGGCUACAGAUGUGACACAUUGCAAGAUGGGUCAUUCAAGGUUGGCUCAGUCAGAGGAAUCAUACCAAAAUAUGGGGACAGGGACUACCAUGUGCAAGCAAACAAGGAUGAAGGGACAUAUUCAUGCACUUGCUGCAAGUUUGAGCGAGAUGGUAUACUCUGCGCACAUGUGUUACGAGUGAUGGACCAA